ensembl:ncRNA C14B9.12 ncRNA
UGAGAUCACCGACGACGGAGCCAUAUCUGCGUCUCCGUGUCGGCUGAUAGUAUUUUUUUGAUGUUUGCGUGUCCUUUGCCCACAGUUGACCUGCCCUGCCCAGCUCCUUUUUGUCAGAUCCUCCGAUUCUAAUUACUC